UACGAAGGGGGCUAGCGUUGUUCGGAAUUACUGGGCGUAAAGCGCACGUAGGCGGUUUUGUACGUCAGGGGUGAAAUCCCGGGGCUCAACCUCGGAACUGCCUUUGAUACUGCAAGUCUCGAGUCCGAUAGAGGUGAGUGGAAUUCCUAGUGUAGAGGUGAAAUUCGUAGAUAUUAGGAAGAACACCAGUGGCGAAGGCGGCUCACUGGAUCGGUACUGACGCUGAGGUGCGAAAGCGUGGGGAGCAAACAGG
rnacentral:rRNA from 1 species